rnacentral:rRNA from 1 species
GACGAACGCUGGCGGCGUGCUUAACACAUGCAAGUCGAACGGAAAGGCCCUGCUUUUGUGGGGUGCUCGAGUGGCGAACAGGUGAGUAACACGUGAGUAACCUGCCCUUGACUUUGGGAUAACUUCAGGAAACUGGGGCUAAUACCGGAUAGGAGCUCCUGCUGCAUGGUGGGGGUUGGAAAGUUUCGGCGGUUGGGGAUGGACUCGCGGCUUAUCAGCUUGUUGGUGGGGUAGUGGCUUACCAAGGCUUUGACGGGUAGCCGGCCUGAGAGGGUGACCGGCCACAUUGGGACUGAGAUACGGCCCAGACUCCUACGGGAGGCGGCAGUGGGGAAUAUUGCACAAUGGGCGGAAGCCUGAUGCAGCAACGCCGCGUGCGGGAUGACGGCCUUCGGGUUGUAAACCGCUUUCGCCUGUGACGAAGCGUGAGUGACGGUAAUGGGUAAAGAAGCACCGGCUAACUACGU